CAAACUAAAAUUUUUUAAUUCAUUUGGUCUUCGAUAUUUAAUUUGAUAACUUUAGUUAAUCGAAAACAAAGUUAUCUAAUCCCCUUCAAUUUAAUUUUUAUCGGUUCAUGGUUGAUUGCUUUUACUUUUAACUUCUGUAGUCAAUGCUAUAAUAGUUGUAUGACUUAUUUAGUUAGUUAGUUUGAUUUUUAGCAGCUUUGGCUAUGU
rnacentral:lncRNA from 1 species